rnacentral:rRNA from 1 species
AUGGACGGCAUCACAGCCAACACCACCACGAUCAGUCCCCGGAAGCCGCGGGUGAUGCUCUACUCGUCCCCACUCAUGGGGCAUCUCGUCCCCAUGAUCGAGCUCGCCAAGCUCUUCGCCGCCCGUGGGCUAGCCAUCACCGUCGUUCUCAUGGACCCGCCGUACGAUACCGGCGCCACGGGCCCCUUCCUCGCCGGUGUCUCCGCGGCCAACCCCUCCAUUUCUUUCCAUCGUCUGCCACAGGUCAAGCUCCUGGAGUCCGACGACUCCGUGAUGCCGGCCUUAGCGUUCGCCCGCCUCUCCAACCCGCAUCUACGCGACUUCCUCGCUGGUGCAUCUCCGGACUUCCUCGUGGUGGACUUCUUCUGCAGUGCCGCUAUGGACGUAGCCUCGGAGCUCAACAUCCCCGCCUACUUCUUCUCCACCUCCGGCGCCCAGAUCCUGGCUUUCUUUAUGCACCUCACGGUUCUGCAUGAAACCACGAGGAGCUUCCGGGAAAUGGGCGAAGAACUCGUGCACGUCCCGGGGAUCACCCCGUUUCCGGCGACACACUCCAUUCAGCCACUCAUGGAUCGUGACGGUGCGUCCUACCAGGCAUUACUAAAUGUAAGCCUCAACCUGUUCCGAUCACAGGGCAUCUUCAUCAACACCUUCCGCUCGCUGGAGCCUCGUGCCAUGGACACCAUCCUCGCCGGGCUCUCCGCCCCAGCUGGCCUCUCGACGCCCCCAGUCUACUGCGUUGGGCCGCUAGUCAAGUCAGAGGAGGUGGACAUGAAGCGUGGAGACGAGUGUCUCGCAUGGUUGGACACGCAACCCAAGGCCAGUGUGGUGUUCCUGUGCUUUGGCAGCCUCGGCCGGUUCAGCGCCAAACAAACAAGGGAACUGGCAACCGGGCUGGAGGCUAGUGGACAAAGGUUCCUCUGGGUUGUGCGGAGCCCGCCGAGCGACGACACUACAGAGCCGGACCUGGAUGUGCUGCUUCUGAAGGGUUUCCUGGACCGGACCAAGGGCAGGGGCCUAGUUGUGAAGUCAUGGGCACCACAAGGUGACGUUCUAGCACAUCAUGCUGUGGGAAGUUUUGUGACACACUGCGGGUGGAACUCGGUGCUCGAGUCUACUAUGGCAGGUGUGCCUAUGCUGGCCUGGCCAUUGUACGCGGAGCAAAAGAUGAAUGCGGUGUUCCUCGAGAAAGAGAUGGAGUUGGCUGUCGUGAUGGAAGGGUACGACAAGGAGAUGGUGGAGGCAAAGGAGAUUGCCAAAAAGGUCAGGUGGAUGAUGGAUUCGGAGGGCGGGAGGGUGCUCCGAGAAAGAACUCUAGCAGUGAUGCGGCAGGCGAAUGAUGCUCUACUCGAGGGUGGAGAAUCAGAUGCGGCCAUGACGGGCUUUGUGGAUGCGUGGGUUAAAGCUUGA